AUUGAACGCUGGCGGCAGGCCUAACACAUGCAAGUCGAACGAGUGGCGGACGGGUGAGUAAUGUCUGGAAAACUGCCUGAUGGAGGGGGAUAACUACGGGAAACGGUAGCUAAUACCGCAUACCAUCAGAUGGGCCCAGAUGGGAUUAGCGAGUUGGUGGGGUAACGGCUCACAAAGGCGACGAUCCCUAGCGGGUCUGAGAGGAUGACCAGCCACACGGGAACGGAGAAACGGUCCAGACUCUUACGGGAGGCAGCGGUGGGAAAUAUUGGACAAGGGGCGAAAGCCUGAUGCAGCCAUGCCGCGUGUAUGAAGAAGGCCUUCGGGUUGUAAACUACUGUCAGCGGGGAGGCGUUACCCAAAGAAGAAGCAACGGCUAACUACGUGCCAGCCGCCGCGGUAAUUC
rnacentral:rRNA from 1 species